ACGGCUCAGUAACACGUGGAUAACCUGCCCUAAGGAAGGGGAUAACCCCGGGAAACUGGGGAUAAUACCCUAUAGGUUAUAGAUGCUGGAAUGCUCUGUAACUCAAAGUUCCGGCGCCUUAGGAUGGAUCUGCGGCCGAUUAGGUUGUUGUUGGGGUAAUGGCCCAACAAGCCUGUAAUCGGUACGGGUUGUGGGAGCAAGAGCCCGGAGUUGGAUUCUGAGACACGAAUCCAGGCCCUACGGGGCGCAGCAGGCGCGAAAACUUUACAAUGCGGGCAACCGUGAUAAGGGAACCUCGAGUGCCUGUAUAUGCAGGCUGUCCAGGUGUCUAAAACACACCUGAAGAAAGGGCCGGGCAAGACCGGUGCCAGCCGCCGCGGUAAUACCGGCGGCUCGAGUGGUGGCCACUUUUAUUGGGCUUAAAGCGUUCGUAGCUGGGUUGUUAAGUCUCUUGGGAAAUCUGGCGGCUUAACCGUCAGGCGUCUAAGGGAUACUGGCAAUCUUGGAACCGGGAGAGGUGAGGGGUACUUCGGGGGUAGGAGUGAAAUCCUGUAAUCCUCGAGGGACCACCUGUGGCGAAGGCGCCUCACCAGAACGGCUUCGACAGUGAGGGACGAAAGCUGGGGGAGCAAACCGGAUUAGGUACCCGGGUAGUCCCAGCCGUAAACGAUGUGCGUUAGGUGUAUCGACGACCACGAGUCGUCGCGGUGCCGAAGGGAAACCGUGAAACGUACCGCCUGGGAAGUACGGUCGCAAGGCUGAAACUUAAAGGAAUUGGCGGGGGAG
rnacentral:rRNA from 1 species